rnacentral:rRNA from 1 species
UACGUAGGGGGCAAGCGUUGUCCGGAUUUAUUGGGCGUAAAGAGCGUGUAGGCGGCCUGAAAGGUCAGCUGUGAAAACUCGAGGCUCAACCUCGAGACGUCGGUUGAAACCAUCUGGCUAGAGUCCGGAAGAGGCGAGUGGAAUUCCCGUGGUGUGACGGUGAAAUGCGCAGAUAUCGAGGAGAACCAGCCGAGUGGCGA